rnacentral:pre_miRNA from 1 species
UCCCUGAGGAGCCCUUUGAGCCUGAGGUGAAAAAAAAACAGGUCAAGAGGCGCCUGGGAA